AUUUUGCGUUAGGGAUGGAAGCGGUAUCCUUUGGGGUUGGAUUGAGGCGGCGGAGCGUAGCGGAGCCGUCCGAGCGACAAACCUAAAGAUAGAGCGGACAGCCCGACUUUUU
rnacentral:sRNA from 1 species